rnacentral:lncRNA from 1 species
CUUCGUCGUGGGAGAGUCCAAGAGACAUAUGCCCCUUCAACAAUUUUCUUGGGCGUACCAUUAAACUCUUUUCAGCUCCUAAUCCACCCAGUUAGCAUUUCUUUACACUAUGAAGUCAUCCACUAUAGAUAUUUUUACCAAAUAAAAGUUGAAUUAUUAAUAUUAAUAUACUAACUUGUUUAUUGAUUGCUUCCACACAUGUCGGAUCUGACCUAAGUAAUUAAUAAUAUACUACGUACGUUUUAAGGUUUUUGGUUUCAUUGAUUUGAAACUGUGGGUGCAUUGUUUUAUUGAAUGUGAGUUUUUGUCGUGAUAUGUAAAAUAUGCUGACGGCGGUAAUAAAUAAAAACCGUGAAAUGAAUGGAUAAAAAUCGAAGUAAGGGCAUAAUAUCAAUCAAAGCUACGAGCCUCACUAUAAAAAAUGAUGCAAGAGGAGAGACACAUGCGGCGUAUAGAAUCUGAGGGCUAGGGACCAGCGGAGAUUUAGGAGCAAUGUAAUGGAGACAAUGACGGAACAGGUGGUCGAACACGUGAUAGUCACCCGACUGUAGGCCUGGGUGCCCCGCCGAUUUC